GUAACUCACCGAUCUUGGUGAAAACUUCCGGCAAAAGCAUCCCAGCGACACCGAGCAUAGCCCAUCGUCCGUUGACCAGCUCUGCCUGGACGAACCAUUUCAAGUUCUCUGGAUCCUCUGCUAGACCCAACGGGUCAAACCCAUUGUCACCGGCAAGACUGCAAUAUGUAUAAGAGUGAGU
rnacentral:sRNA from 1 species